rnacentral:rRNA from 1 species
UACGAAGGGGGCUAGCGUUGCUCGGAAUCACUGGGCGUAAAGCGCACGUAGGCGGCUUUCUAAGUCAGGGGUGAAAUCCUGGAGCUCAACUCCAGAACUGCCUUUGAUACUGGAGAGCUUGAGUUCGGGAGAGGUGAGUGGAACUGCGAGUGUAGAGGUGAAAUUCGUAGAUAUUCGCAAGAACACCAGUGGCGAAGGCGGCUCACUGGCCCGAUACUGACGCUGAGGUGCGAAAGCGUGGGGAGCAAACAGGAUUAGAACCUUA